UACGUAGGGGGCAAGCGUUGUCCGGAUUUAUUGGGCGUAAAGAGCGUGUAGGCGGUUAGGUAGGUCCGUUGUGAAAACUCGAGGCUCAACCUCGAGACGCCGAUGGAAACCAUCUGACUAGAGUCCGGAAGAGGAGAGUGGAAUUCCGAGUGUAGAGGUGAAAUUCGUAGAUAUUCGGAAGAACACCAGUGGCGAAGGCGACUUACUGGACACAUAUUGACGCUGAGGUGCGAAAGCGUGGGGAGCAAACAGG
rnacentral:rRNA from 1 species